rnacentral:rRNA from 1 species
UACGGGGGGGGCAAGCGUUGUUCGGAAUUACUGGGCGUAAAGGGCGCGUAGGCGGUUUGCUAAGUUGGACGUGAAAACUCUGGGCUUAACCCAGAGCCUGCAUCCAAAACUGGCAAGCUGGAGUUUUGGAGGGGGAAGCGGAAUUCCUGGUGUAGCAGUGAAAUGCGUAGAUAUCAGGAGGAACACCGGUGGCGAAGGCGGCUUCCUGGACCGACACUGACGCUGAGGCGCGAAAGCUAGGGGAGCAAACGGG